AUUGAACGCUGGCGGCAGGCUUAACACAUGCAAGUCGGACGGUAACAGGGAGGAAGCUUGCUUUCUUUGAUGACGAGUGGCGGACGGGUGAGUAGUGCUUGGGAAUCUGUUUUAUGGAGGGGGAUAACUACGGGGAAACUGUAGCUAAUACCGCGUAAUAUCGAGAGAUUAAAGUGUGGGACCGUAAGGCCACAUGCCAUAGAGUGAGCCCAAGUGGGAUUAGGUAGUUGGUGGGGUAAAGGCCUACCAAGCCGUCGAUCUCUAGCUGGUCUGAGAGGAUGACCAGCCACACUGGGACUGAGACACGGCCCAGACUCCUACGGGAGGCAGCAGUGGGGAAUAUUGCACAAUGGGCGCAAGCCUGAUGCAGCCAUGCCGCGUGAAUGAAGAAGGCCUUCGGGUUGUAAAGUUCUUUCGGUGGUGAGGAAGGUUGUAAUGUUAAUAGCAUUAUAAUUUGACGUUAGCCACAGAAGAAGCACCGGCUAAUUCCGUGCCAGCAGCCGCGGUAAUACGGAGGGUGCGAGCGUUAAUCGGAAUAACUGGGCGUAAAGGGCACGCAGGCGGAUACUUAAGUGAGGUGUGAAAGCCCUGGGCUUAACCUAGGAAUUGCAUUUCAUACUGGGUAUCUAGAGUAUUUUAGGGAGGGGUAGAAUUCCACGUGUAGCGGUGAGAUGCGUAGAGAUGUGGAGGAAUACCGAAGGCGAAGGCAGCCCCUUGGGGGAAUACCGACGCUCAUGUGCGAAAGCGUGGGGAGCAAGCAGG
rnacentral:rRNA from 1 species